CAGAGUUGAUCCUGGCUCAGGAUGAACGCUAGCUACAGGCUUAACACAUGCAAGUCGAGGGGAAACGACAUCGAAAGCUUGCUUUUGAUGGGCGUCGACCGGCGCACGGGUGAGUAACGCGUAUCCAACCUGCCCACCACUUGGGGAUAACCUUGCGAAAGUAAGACUAAUACCCAAUGACGUCUCUAGAAGACAUCUGAAGGAGAUUAAAGAUUUAUCGGUGAUGGAUGGGGAUGCGUCUGAUUAGCUUGUUGGCGGGGUAACGGCCACCAAGGCGACGAUCAGUAGGGGUUCUGAGAGGAAGGUCCCCCACAUUGGAACUGAGACACGGUCCAAAACUCCUACGGGAGGCA
rnacentral:rRNA from 1 species